rnacentral:tRNA from 1 species
GGGGCUGUGGCUCAGUAGCAAAACAUCUGCUUGGCAAGCAGACUGUCCCCGGUUCAAUCCCUGGCAUCCCCA